rnacentral:rRNA from 1 species
GGGAGGGCGUUUACCACGGUGUGGUUCAUGACUGGGGUGAAGUCGUAACAAGGUAGCCCUAGGGGAACCUGGGGCUGGAUCACCUCCUUA